rnacentral:rRNA from 1 species
UACGGAGGGUGCAGCGUUUGUCCGGAUUUAUUGGGUUUAAAGGGUGCGUAGGCGGCUGAUUAAGUCUGGGGUGAAAGCCCGUUGCUCAACAACGGAACUGCCCUGGAAACUGGUUGGCUUGAGUACAGACGAGGGUGGCGGAAUGGAUGCUGUAGCGGUGAAAUGCAUAGAGAUGACACAGAACACCGAUUGCGAAGGCAGCCCACUACGCAACUAUUGACGCUGAGGCACGAAAGCGUGGGGAUCAAACAGG